UUCCAGUACUUGAUUAAAAUAAAGUUAUUUUCUUAUUUUAUUUAUAACUAAUGUGUAAUUUGUUAUUUUUCACAAAUGAUUUGAAAUUGAACCAACAUCUGAAAUGAAUGAGGGUUGAAUACAACAACUGUAACACGACAUUAUCAGGCAACAACAGAAAUGCCAUUAUCCAACAAGAAAUACAUACAUAUCCACCCUUAGAAAAUAAUCAAUGACUAACGAGAGCUGAUAUCAAAUUCUCUCCAGCAACCAAUCUGAGAUCCAUAUUCUCUACCAUACAAGAAGCUACAUCUGUUCACAUACUUAUUCGCCUUCACUUAGUAUAGGUACUAUGAGUGGUUUCAUUUGUGCCAGAUAUACAAUUGCCCACCUGAUACAAGGAAAGACCAACGUGAGCACAAUGACAAACAUGACAUUAUAUGGCUAAUUGCAAGUUAGAAUGAAAAAUUCCUUUGUCUGAGAAUUCCAUCAAAAUGUCAGUUAAUCUCCACCUCCUCCUCCCCAAAAAAAAAGCCUCUAGACAUACCCGUUUUUACACUGAAUGAGGCAAACCUAUCUAUAGCCUAUACACAUUUUCAUCAAAUUGUAUCAAGCUCCUUGACGAUAUGAUGAAAUGUUCAUAAUGAUUAACAGAAACUCAAAUCGCUUUGUAUUAUCUAUUUAUAAGUUUAUUUAGUAAGACCACACAUUUAGAAUGUAAGUACAACAUAUUAAAAUGGCAAUGGGUAGUUUAAUCAGAGAAAAGCAUAAUCGUCAAACUAACUAGUGAUUUACAGACUAAUUACAAUUGGACAUGUUAUUAUAUACAAACAUCAAAAUACUGAACAAAGUGGCGAUGCCCCAAUCAAUUCCCUAAUAAGCAUAAUGCCCCUCUUAGAAGAGAUGUAAUAGCAACGCUCAAGCAUGUUAAACUAAAUUGCACUAAUAUUGGGCUCAUCCAUCUAUGAUGGCUUGACUUACAUUUAUUUUCACGGGGGCUGUUAUUAACCGGUUUGGUGGCUCAACUUGUUUGAGCUAAGGGUUAUAGAAGUUAAUGAGUUAAAAGACCACGAUUCAGGUCCCAGCUAAAAAAAAAACUAUGAAGUAUCUUUGAUAUGACCUAUGAAGUAUCUUUGACACGGACACCGACACAGAUAACAAUUUGGAAAAAUGACAUAAUUCAGUGUAAUCAUAAGUGUAGCGUUGGUGUCAAACACCGACGCGUGACCACCGCUUGGACACACCUAAUCCGAGGAGUGUCCGUGCUUCAUAGAAUAGAAUAUGACAAAAAAAACACAACAUCAUGUCUGAGUGUAAGGAACAUCUAUGGAGAGCAAACAGCUUGAACAACAUGAACAACUAUGAGUACUGUGUACACGUCAGCCUGUAAGCAUGAAGUUAUUUCAUGGGCAAGAAAUCCAAGAAUGGCAUGUCUUUUUUUUUUUCUAAGGGGUAAAUUCCUUAUCCGGGGGAAAAUAAACCUACGUGCACAAUUUAUAAUUGCUCUAAUUCCUUUAUUGACUUGAGACAAAACUAAAAGAAAACCGGACUUACAUCAUCCAGCAGCAUAUUGUCGCAGUAAUGACCAGAGUUAGGUGAAAUCUGCAAUAAAAUAAGAUAUUAGAAAUAUGUCAAGGAGAAUAAUGCAUGUCAUAGAGCAUAUUGGCGUCACUAAAGAAUCUGAAUACUGAGCUUUACAAAACACAAUAAAUUGAAAUGAACAUUUGAUGACAUCAUGGGUUCGUUUGGUUUGUAACAUGUCCAUAAGUUGUUUUCAGCUUAUUUCCAUAAGCUCUCCCAGAUAGCUAAUGAGAACUACUCAUAGCUUAUAUGAAAACAAUUUGACUUGUAUUUUAUCUUUUGUAAUAGAAACAGCUUAUACGCAAGCACUUAUAAGAUAAACGUUUAUGCUAUAAGUGCUUAAUUGAGUUGUUUAUCAAGCACACCCCGUAUCAACUUUUAAUGAAAAGUUGAUAAAAGUAACAACGAAGAUGAUAAAAAACAUGAAUACAAGUGCAUCUCACUUAUGUCUAACUAUAUAUGUCAUUUUAUUUUAGUUUUAUACAAUUAAACAUAGACACAGAACACAACACUGGUAAAUAAUUUGAGAAAAAUAGAAGAGACUGUAAGCAAUCACCAAUAUCUAUGUCUCUCAAAGACACCCUUAAUCUAAUCUGAUCACCCAAAUAGUAGAAAAUAAGAAAAUGCACUAGUCUAUAUAUUAUCAUUGAGUUACUCAAAUAAAAAUGUUAAGCAUUAGUCAAUUUCUCUAUAUAUUUAAAAAUAAAAACUCCAACAAAAAUCAGAGCAACGAACUCUUCAACAACAAGCAAGCCUUAUCUCACUAAGUGGGGUCGGCUACAUGGAUCAAAUGACACCAUAUUCUUCUAUCCAAUAUCAUAUUUCUAUCCAAUUCAUUAAUAUCAAAAUUUUAUUUAAUAGUUUCACUCAUAGUUUUCCAGGUCAUCUUCUACCUCUAGAUAUUUGACUACCCUUCGUCAAAUCUACUCUCCAUGCUACAUAAUCUCAAGGUCUUCAGUCUACAUGGGCAAACUACCUAAGCAGAGUUUCCACCAUCUUUACUACGAAAAAUCCUACCCCGAAUUUCUCUCUAAUAUUGUCAUUUCAGUUCGUACAAAAUUUAAAAUUUUCAAACCUCUUAACUUCAAAACUAAUAGAUUCAUAAAAAUCGUAUUAUACUUCGUACAAUGUAUUCAUCAAAUGGAGAAACUCUAAAAAAUCGAAUCGAAAUAAAAAAUUAACAACACAAGACAGAAAAACAAAUUGAAACGAAGAUCAGAGAGAAAAAAGGUAUUACAGAUUAGCAGAAGGUCCUCUGUUGCAACAAAUUCUGGUACAGAGACAUGCGAUGAUUCCAACCACAACAAAAAUCAGUGUCGUUAUCAAGAAACCCAUUCCGAUUCGUUGUUUUCAGAUUCCGAUCAGAGAAAAAUGAUUUCCU
rnacentral:lncRNA from 1 species